rnacentral:rRNA from 1 species
CCGCGGGAUUAGAGUUUGAUCCUGGCUCAGAUUGAACGCUGGCGGCAUGCCUUACACAUGCAAGUCGAACGGCAGCACGGGGUAACCUGGUGGCGAGUGGCGAACGGGUGAGUAAUAUAUCGGAACGUACCCUGGAGUGGGGGAUAACGUAGCGAAAGUUACGCUAAUACCGCAUACGAUCUAAGGAUGAAAGUGGGGGAUUCGCAAGAACCUCAUGCUCGUGGAGCGGCCGAUAUCUGAUUAGCUAGUUGGUAGGGUAAAAGCCUACCAAGGCAUCGAUCAGUAGCUGGUCUGAGAGGACGACCAGCCACACUGGAACUGAGACACGGUCCAGACUCCUACGGGAGGCAGCAGUGGGGAAUUUUGGACAAUGGGCGAAAGCCUGAUCCAGCAAUGCCGCGUGAGUGAAGAAGGCCUUCGGGUUGUAAAGCUCUUUUGUCAGGGAAGAAACGGUGUUUUCUAAUACAGAAUGCUAAUGACGGUACCUGAAGAAUAAGCACCGGCUAACUACGUGCCAGCAGCCGCGGUAAUACGUAGGGUGCAAGCGUUAAUCGGAAUUACUGGGCGUAAAGCGUGCGCAGGCGGUUUUGUAAGUCUGACGUGAAAUCCCCGGGCUCAACCUGGGAAUCGCGUUGGAGACUGCAAGGCUAGAGUUUGGCAGAGGGGGGUAGAAUUCCACGUGUAGCAGUGAAAUGCGUAGAUAUGUGGAGGAACACCGAUGGCGAAGGCAGCCCCCUGGGUCAAGACUGACGCUCAUGCACGAAAGCGUGGGGAGCAAACAGGAUUAGAUACCCUGGUAGUCCACGCCCUAAACGAUGUCUACUAGUUGUCGGGUCUUAUUGACUUGGUAACGCAGCUAACGCGUG